rnacentral:rRNA from 1 species
CUUGACCUCGGAUCAGGUAGGGAUACCCGCUGAACUUAAGCAUAUCAAUAAGCGGAGGAAAAGAAACCAACAGGGAUUGCCCUAGUAACGGCGAGUGAAGCGGCAACAGCUCAAAUUUGAAAUCUGGCUCUUUCCAGUCCGAGUUGUAAUUUGCAGAGGGCGCUUUGGCGUUGGCAGCGGUCCAAGUUCCUUGGAACAGGACGUCACAGAGGGUGAGAAUCCCGUACGUGGUCGCUAACCUUCGCCGUGUAAAGCCCCUUCGACGAGUCGAGUUGUUUGGGAAUGCAGCUCUAAAUGGGAGGUAAAUUUCUUCUAAAGCUAAAUACUGGCCAGAGACCGAUAGCGCACAAGUAGAGUGAUCGAAAGAUGAAAAGCACUUUGGAAAGAGAGUCAAAUAGCACGUGAAAUUGUUGAAAGGGAAGCGCUUGCAGCCAGACUUGCCUGUAGUUGCUCAUCCGGGCUUUUGCCCGGUGCACUCUUCUGCGGGCAGGCCAGCAUCAGUUUGGGCGGUUGGAUAAAGAUCUCUAUCACGUACCUCUCUUCGGGGAGGCCUUAUAGGGGAGAUGUCAUACAACCAGCCUGGACUGAGGUCCGCGCAUCUGCUAGGAUGCUGGCGUAAUGGCUGUAAGCGGCCCGUCUUGAAACACGGACCAAGGAGUCUAACAUCUAUGCGAGUGUUUGGGUGUCAAGCCCGAGCGCGUAAAGAAAGUGAACGGAGGUGGGAGCCCUUAAGGGUGCACCAUCGACCGAUCUUGAUGUCUUCGGAUGGAUUUGAGUAAGAGCAUGGCUGUUGGGACACGAAAGAUGGUGAACUAUGCUUGAAUAGGGUGAAGCCAGAGGAAACUCUGGUGGAGGCUCGCAGCGGUUCUGACGUGCAAAUCGAUCGUCAAAUUUGGGCAUAGGGGCGAAAGA